AGAUUAAGUUAUUAAGGGCGCACGGUGGAUGCCUUGGCACUAGAAGCCGAUGAAGGACGUUACUAACGACGAUAUGCUUUGGGUAGCUGUAAGUAAGCGUUGAUCCAGAGAUUUCCGAAUGGGGGAACCCAGCAUGAGUUAUGUCAUGUUAUCGACAUGUGAAUUCAUAGCAUGUCAGAAGGCAGACCCGGAGAACUGAAACAUCUUAGUACCCGGAGGAAGAGAAAGAAAAAUCGAUUCCCUGAGUAGCGGCGAGCGAAACGGGAAGAGCCCAAACCAACAAGCUUGCUUGUUGGGGUUGUAGGACACUCUAUACGGAGUUACAAAAGAACAUGUUAGACGAAUCAUCUGGAAAGAUGAAUCAAAGAAGGUAAUAAUCCUGUAGUCGAAAACAUAUUCUCUCUUGAGUGGAUCCUGAGUACGACGGAGCACGUGAAAUUCCGUCGGAAUCUGGGAGGACCAUCUCCUAAGGCUAAAUACUCUCUAGUGACCGAUAGUGAACCAGUACCGUGAGGGAAAGGUGAAAAGUACCCCGGAAGGGGAGUGAAAGAGAACUUGAAACCGUGUGCUUACAAGUAGUCAGAGCCCGUUAAUGGGUGAUGGCGUGCCUUUUGUAGAAUGAACCGGCGAGUUACGAUCUGAUGCAAGGUUAAGCAGCAAAUGUGGAGCCGCAGCGAAAGCGAGUCUGAAUAGGGCGUUGAGUAUUUGGUCGUAGACCCGAAACCAGGUGAUCUACCCUUGGUCAGGUUGAAGUUCAGGUAACACUGAAUGGAGGACCGAACCGACUUACGUUGAAAAGUGAGCGGAUGAACUGAGGGUAGCGGAGAAAUUCCAAUCGAACUUGGAGAUAGCUGGUUCUCUCCGAAAUAGCUUUAGGGCUAGCCUCAAGUGAUGAUUAUUGGAGGUAGAGCACUGUUUGGACGAGGGGCCCCUCUCGGGUUACCGAAUUCAGACAAACUCCGAAUGCCAAUUAAUUUAACUUGGGAGUCAGAACAUGGGUGAUAAGGUCCGUGUUCGAAAGGGAAACAGCCCAGACCACCAGCUAAGG
rnacentral:rRNA from 1 species